rnacentral:rRNA from 1 species
AGUGAACGCUGGCGGUAGGCCUAACACAUGCAAGUCGAACGGCAGCACAGUAAGAGCUUGCUCUUACGGGUGGCGAGUGGCGGACGGGUGAGGAAUACAUCGGAAUCUACUUUUUCGUGGGGGAUAACGUAGGGAAACAUACGCUAAUACCGCAUACGACCUACGGGUGAAAGCUGGGGAUCUUCGGACCUCGCGCGAUUGUAUGAGCCGAUGUCGGAUUAGCUAGUUGGUGGGGUAAAGGCCCACCAAGGCGACGAUCCGUAGCUGGUCUGAGAGGAUGAUCAGCCACACUGGAACUGAGACACGGUCCAGACUCCUACGGGAGGCAGCAGUGGGGAAUAUUGGACAAUGGGCGCAAGCCUGAUCCAGCCAUGCCGCGUGUGUGAAGAAGGCCUUCGGAUUGUAAAGCCCUUUUGGUGGGGAAGAAGAGCAGCAAGUUAAUACCCCGCUGUUCUGACGGUACCCAAAGAAUAAGCACCGGCUAACUUCGUG